UAGAAGUGCACCUGUGGUCAGAGACCACCCAAUUGCAGCAGCUCCAUUUUGCAAGGCUUAGAGUGAGCCCUCAGAGAGGACUUAGAGUGCACCCUUAAGAACCAAAUGUAAUUUUAAGCCCUCCAGAUGUGUCUGCUGCACUGCUAAGGAUGUGGCUUUGUUACAGACUGUGAAGGGAAGUGCAGAAGCAAAAUACCUUCAGAAAAGCCAUCCCAACAAUGCUUCCUGCAUCCUGAGAAGGAGAGACCUAUCUUCCUAGGUUCUUCACGUGAUGCCAGUAACCGCCAUGGAAGAUUCUUAGACCAAUUCCAGAUAACUAUAUUUUCACGAUGUUCCAAGCUUUUGCAACUUUGAGUUUUGUUUCGACCACUAAACUCUGUGGAGACUGAAACAUGAAUAACAGCCCUGGCUUUCCCAUGGUGGCCCACUGCUGCUAACAGUAUGAGAUCUGUGACAUUUCCCAAACAGGAUAUGCCCUAAUUCCAACAGUUGCAGCAACUAUUUCAGGCAGUCCCAAGCUAAAGAUAAUCCUUACUUUCCUUGCUCAGGUAUGACCAGCUACAUUUUCUAACUGCAGCCAGUAUCUGUAGAAUCAUCUAACUUUAUGCUGUCCUUCAGCUUUCAACAAGGAAAUACAAAAACCAUGUGGAAUCCAGGAGAUGAAAAUUGUACCUCAAGGCAAAAGAACCAGAGCCUGUCUUUUAAUUCCAGUUCAACUCAAUUCACAUUAACAUAGUUUCUGUGCACAAGUACAGAAAUGUACAAAAUAUUUCCCAUGAAACCACCAUAUCCAGGCUACAUUAAUCUCCCUUUUCCCAUGCAGCCAACCUGGGGCUUCUUUGCCCUGGGACUGGACAUUCUGAAGCUGCUGUGUUCUGGUGGGAAGUCCUGGCUAAAUGGUCAAAUUUUCCUUUUCCCCUCCAGAU